GAUGAACGCUGGCGGCGUGCUUAACACAUGCAAGUCGAACGAUGAAGCCGGAGCUUGCUCUGGUGAAUUAGUGGCGAACGGGUGAGUAACACGUGAGUAACCUGCCCUUGACUCUGGGAUAACUGCGGGAAUCUGUAGCUAAUACCGGAUACGACCCUCGGAGGCAUCUCCUGGGGGUGGAAAGAAUUUCGGUCAAGGAUGGACUCGCGGCCUAUCAGCUAGUUGGUGAGGUAAAGGCUCACCAAGGCGACGACGGGUAGCCGGCCUGAGAGGGGAACCGGCCACACUGGGACUGAGACACGGCCCAGACUCCUACGGGAGGCAGCAGUGGGGAAUAUUGCACAAUGGGCGCAAGCCUGAUGCAGCAACGCCGCGUGAGGGAUGACGGCCUUCGGGUUGUAAACCUCUUUUAGCAGGGAAGAAGCGAAAGUGACGGUACCUGCAGAAAAAGCACCGGCUAACUACGUGCCAGCAGCCGCCGUAA
rnacentral:rRNA from 1 species